UUGAAAUUUUAUUAGGUUAAUAAUUAUGAAUAUAGAGUUGCAUUCACGUCGCUUUCAGCAAACGCUAAUCACCAUGUGAAUAUUUUUAGUGAAUAAAAAAAAGAAAAAAGAAAAAAGAGUAGAAUUCGCGGAGACAUCAUCAAUGGAGCCACCCAUCCUCCUUUCAAUUCCGGCAUUCGGCGUCGCCUCCUCUUUCUCCUCACUCCGCCGCUCCUACGUCUGCUACAACUGCAAUUACCCCUUCCAUAUUUCCCCUACAGCCGCCGCGAUCGCAGAGUCAGACACAUCAUCAUCCUCCGCCCUCCCCUCUUCCUUCCGCUGCCCUCGCUGCCACCUCCGCCACCUCAUCUCGCACCACACAAUCUGCGCAGCGCCUCAUCCUCCCCCUCCCGCCCGCCCUACGCGGCGGCGCAAGGACGAUCCUCCUCCUGCUAUCAUCAGUAGCGCUACUUCAGCAGCUCCGUCGACGCAGCCGUGCUCAAUUUGCCUGGAGGAUUUCGAUAUUAGCUCCGAUGCAGCUAGCGUGACGCCGUGCAAGCAUUAUUUUCACAAAAAUUGUCUCGCGCCAUGGCUCCGGAGGAAGAAGAAUUGCCCAAUGUGCCGCCGCGAAUUGCCAUACAAAAUUAGAAGGUUUCGGAGAUGGGCAUCAGUGAUCGCGCGCGAUGCGGACGGAGAUACCUUGAUGAGAGACGCGUGAGCUCUUUUGAUAACUGUAAAAGCAGUCUUGUGCAAAUAUAUUGGAGCUGUUCUUCUAGAGCUUGCUGUCAUGGUCGGGGACAGCAUCUUUUGUACAGAGUUUGUCUUUUUACUUUUUAGUUAAUCUUUUGCAAAGUUAGUGCUGGAGCAGGGAUGGAAUGGACCAACAGGUAGAAAGGCAAGAGGUUUUCUUAGAAGAAAUUUAGAAAAUUAAAAGGAAUAAUUCCUAUAGAAUUUUUGGUGUCUCCUAUCAUUUAGUGAGGGGAUGGAUAUGGUUUCGUUUCAUUUCACAAACAGGGUUAGAAAAGGAGUUGGUAGAAUGGGAUGGAAUAAAUAGUAUUUUGUAUUUAAGUUUCAUUCUUAUAUUUAUUAAUAAAUGAAAUUUUGAUUGGAGGAACACAGAGCAUUCUUUCCAUUGCAAUGUUAGGAAUUAACUUUUACAUGUAUGGCAAAAGUAAGUGAGAUUUUUGUUCAAUCUAUUGAAAAAAUGAUGAAAACUAUGAAAAAUAAAAUUCUGAUAGUAUAAGUUUUGAGGAAAUUACAAUCUUACGGGCAAUACAUCUUCCCCUGGUUGCCUGCUAUGGAGGUAAGUACUUCUUUUACCCUACAAAAAUGAUAUAUAGUCACAUAGGAUAAUCUUGUUGAUUUUUAUUUCCAAUGCUUACUGCCUGUAUUUCUGUUAUGUAUAGCAUGUUUGCAACAGUUCUAAGCGUAUAACACAGCAUCUUAUUCAUAUAUCAAUACUAAAAUUCUUCAGAUAAUUAUUUUUAUUUUGAUUCCUCAUGUUGGUAUAAAUUCUGUUAUUGGUGUCCAUUUUCGCAAUAUCAACAUAGCUGACCCUGAAUUCAUAGCACCUUGGUAUGGCGCUAGAAAUUGAAGAAGAUGUAAAGAUUAUUGUAUUUUCUUUCAGUAUGCUGCAAGACUCAACAACCUUGUUGAGGUUUUGAUGUUCAUUAGUUCGGUAUUACAUAAAACUUUUGUCCUAUACUAUUGUAUUUUGUGGUUGCUCAUUAUCUUGGCUAUGUAAUGACAGUGGUAGUAUAUGAGGACAUCAAAACUGAUGAAAACUAUGAAAAGUAAAAUUUUGGUAUAAGUUUUGAGAAAAUUACAAUCUUACUGUCAGUAGAUCUUCUCCUAGUUGCCUGCUAUGUUGGAGGUAAGUUCUUUUACCCUACAAUAAUGAUAUAAAGUCACAUAGGAAAAUCUUUAUGAUUUCUAUUUCCAAUGCUUACUGCCUGUUUCUGUGUUAUGUGUAGCAUGUUUACAACAGUUCUAAGCAUAUAUCAGAGCAUCUUAUUCUUAUAUCAAGACUGUAAUCCUUAAGAUCAUUAUUUUAUUUAGAUUCCUCAUGUUGAUUUCUGCUAUUGGCAUUCCGUGUUCGUUUGCCCAAUCCCCAAUAUCAGCAUAGCUUAUCCAUGGAUUCAUAGUAUCUUGGCACGGCGCUAGACAUGGAAGAAGAUGUAAAGAUUAUUGUGUUUUCUUUCAGUGUGUCUUCCUUCCUCUUUCUGGAAGUGAGUCCGAUUUGAGCAUGCAAAGCAGUGUUCAACAACCUUGUUGAAGUUUUGAUCUUCACCAGUUCAGUAUCACAUAAACUUUUGUCCUAUACCAUUGAUGUCUGUGUUGGCUCAUUAUCUUAGACUUAGCUACUAUGUAAUGACAACAGCGGUAUUAUAUGAAUACAUCAAAAACCAGUACUGCCAUAGUAACUGAUGUUUCCCUGUGGCUUUGUUUA